rnacentral:rRNA from 1 species
GAAGUCGGAAUCCGCUAAGGAGUGUGUAACAACUCACCUGCCGAAGCAACUAGCCCUGAAAAUGGAUGGCGCUCUAGCAUCGUGCCUAUACCCGACCGUCACAGGCAAACGAGUGCGGCUUCGCGCCGGCUCACGAGGCCGUGACGAGUAGGAGGGUCGCGACGGUGUGCGCAGAAGCGUUGGCCGCGAGGCCGUUUGGAGCCGCCGUCGGUGCAGAUCUUGGUGGUAGUAGCAAAUACACUAGCGAGGCCCUGGUGGACUGAUGUGGAG